UACGUAGGGGGCAAGCGUUGUCCGGAUUUAUUGGGCGUAAAGAGCUCGUAGGCGGUUUGGUAAGUCUGGUGUGAAAUCUCCACGCUCAACGUGGAGGGGCCACCCGAUACUGCCAUGACUGGAGUCCGGUAGAGGAGUGUGGAAUUCCCGGUGUAGCGGUGAAAUGCGCAGAUAUCGGGAGGAACACCCGUAGCGAAGGCGGCACUCUGGGCCGGUACUGAAGCAGAGGAGCGAAAGCGUGGGGAGCAAACAGG
rnacentral:rRNA from 1 species